CGGGCUCUGACAUCGGUCCGGCACGCGCGCCGGGCCCCGUGCACGCCAUCGUCGGGCGGGCUCAAGAUCUCACAUUCCUGGGUCAAAGGUAGGUGAGGUGGUCCCUCGCCCAUAGGCCAUGGACGAGAGAUGGUGACCAUGGGUGCUCUGCUAGGGUCUCUUCGUCACCUGAAACCUCCUCGGGUAAUAAUAUUUUCUUCAUAAGUUUAUUUCUCAUUGGGGUAAUGUUCUUACGUAAGUUAGAAACUUCAAUGACUGUACUUGUCAUUGAUUGUUGUAAGUUUUUUUUUUUUUUUUUGUAGAUAUCAUAUAUAUAUACUAUCAUUGCAACCUCGAUCUCUCAUGCUCAUUUGUAUAUUUCCAUUACUUUGUAACACCUACUUUGUGUGCGUUUGACCGAGCUGCAUCUGGGCCAUAAUCACCAGAACAAUCAAUGAGUAAAGGAGUGGGAACAUGCAUGAGAUUUCUAUUUCUACUACUGUAGAGUCCAUGGCUUUGUUAUGAUGAUAUUCUCGAAGGCUGCUGGUAUUAAGUUUUCAGCGGUGGGAGAAUCAUAAAGGAGGACGCAUAUAUGAUGGCAGUACACACCAAAGCAAAGCUAUCAAAAGCCGAGCCAAUCCACUGCUUGCUGCGUUCCUGAAUCGUUGGUUGCUACCUAUAACUCCUUUUACUGUAGCGUCAAUGUCUUGGCCUCAGCAAGUGCUCGACUUCUUGGAUGGUUGCCCCUUAAUUUCUUCGCACUUUUUGCACCAGAACAUGUCAGCAUAUGGUUUCACAUGCCUCUUCUACUCAAUGAAUUAGAUUCGAUUCCAUGCCCUUGAUCUUCUCAAGAUAGUUG
rnacentral:lncRNA from 1 species